GCCCCUGUAGCUCAGCAGGUAGCAGCAGCUCAUUUGUAACGAGACGGUCGGGGGUUCGAUUCCCUCCGGGGGCACCA
rnacentral:tRNA from 1 species